rnacentral:rRNA from 1 species
AGUGAACGCUGGCGGUAGGCCUAACACAUGCAAGUCGAACGGCAGCACAGUAAGAGCUUGCUCUUACGGGUGGCGAGUGGCGGACGGGUGAGGAAUACAUCGGAAUCUACUUUUUCGUGGGGGAUAACGUAGGGAAACUUACGCUAAUACCGCAUACGACCUACGGGUGAAAGCAGGGGAUCUUCGGACCUUUCGCGAUUGAAUGAGCCGAUGUCGGAUUAGCUAGUUGGCGGGGUAAAGGCCCACCAAGGCGACGAUCCGUAGCUGGUCUGAGAGGAUGAUCAGCCACACUGGAACUGAGACACGGUCCAGACUCCUACGGGAGGCAGCAGUGGGGAAUAUUGGACAAUGGGCGCAAGCCUGAUCCAGCCAUACCGCGUGGGUGAAGAAGGCCUUCGGGUUGUAAAGCCCUUUUGUUAGGAAAGAAAAGCAGCAGGUUAAUACCCCGCUGUUCUGGCGGUACCCAAAGAAUAAGCACCGGCUAACUUCGUG